rnacentral:rRNA from 1 species
UAAGGUGGUAGGCUUAAAUCUUAGGUAAAUCCGGGAUUUUUUAAGGCCGAGAGCUGAUGACGAGUUAUCUUUUAGAUGACGAAGUGGUCGAUGCCAUGCUUCCAGGAAAAGCUUCUAAGCUUCAGGUAACUAGGAACCGUACCCCAAACCGACACAGGUGGUUGGGUAGAGAAUACCAAGGCGCUUGAGAGAACUCGGGUGAAGGAACUAGGCAAAAUGGCACCGUAACUUCGGGAGAAGGUGCGCCGGUGAGGGUGAAGUAUUUACUACGUAAGCCCAUGCCGGUCGAAGAUACCAGGCCGCUGCGACUGUUUAUUAAAAACACAGCACUCUGCAAACACGAAAGUGGACGUAUAGGGUGUGACGCCUGCCCGGUGCCGGAAGGUUAAUUGAUGGGGUUAGCUAACGCGAAGCUCUUGAUCGAAGCCCCGGUAAACGGCGGCCGUAACGAUAACGGUCCUAAGGUAGCGAAAUUCCUUGUCGGGUAAGUUCCGACCUGCACGAAUGGCGUAACGAUGGCGGCGCUGUCUCCACCCGAGACUCAGUGAAAUUGAAAUCGCUGUGAAGAUGCAGUGUAUCCGCGGCUAGACGGAAAGACCCCGUGAACCUUUACUACAGCUUUGCACUGGACUUUGAAUUUGCUUGUGUAGGAUAGGUGGGAGGCUUUGAAGCGUGGACGCUAGUCUGCGUGGAGCCAAUCUUGAAAUACCACCCUGGCAACUUUGAGGUUCUAACUCUGGUCCGUUAUCCGGAUCGAGGACAGUGUAUGGUGGGUAGUUUGACUGGGGCGGUCUCCUCCUAAAGAGUAACGGAGGAGUACGAAGGUGCGCUCAGACCGGUCGGAAAUCGGUCGUAGAGUAUAAAGGCAAAAGCGCGCUUGACUGCGAGACAGACACGCCGAGCAGGUACGAAAGUAGGUCUUAGUGAUCCGGUGGUUCUGUAUGGAAGGGCCAUCGCUCAACGGAUAAAAGGUACUCCGGGGAUAACAGGCUGAUACCGCCCAAGAGUUCAUAUCGACGGCGGUGUUUGGCACCUCGAUGUCGGCUCAUCACAUCCUGGGGCUGAAGCCGGUCCCAAGGGUAUGGCUGUUCGCCAUUUAAAGUGGUACGCGAGCUGGGUUUAGAACGUCGUGAGACAGUUCGGUCCCUAUCUGCCGUGGACGUUUGAGAUUUGAGAGGGGCUGCUCCUAGUACGAGAGGACCGGAGUGGACGAACCUCUGGUGUUCCGGUUGUCACGCCAGUGGCAUUGCCGGGUAGCUAUGUUCGGGAAAGAUAACCGCUGAAAGCAUCUAAGCGGGAAACUUGCCUCGAGAUGAGAUCUCACUGGAACCUUGAGUUCCCUAAAGGGCCGUCGAAGACUACGACGUUGAUAGGUUGGGUGUGUAAGCGCUGUGAGGCGUUGAGCUAACCAAUACUAAUUGCCCGUGAGGCUUGACCG